UACGUAGGGUGCAAGCGUUAAUCGGAAUUACUGGGCGUAAAGCGUGCGCAGGCGGUUCUUUAAGACAGAUGUGAAAUCCCCGGGCUCAACCUGGGAACUGCAUUUGUGACUGUAGAGCUGGAGUACGGUAGAGGGGGAUGGAAUUCCGCGUGUAGCAGUGAAAUGCGUAGAUAUGCGGAGGAACACCGAUGGCGAAGGCAAUCCCCUGGACCUGUACUGACGCUCAUGCACGAAAGCGUGGGGAUCAAACAGG
rnacentral:rRNA from 1 species